rnacentral:tRNA from 1 species
GGAGAGAUGGCCGAGUGGUUGAAGGCGCACGCUUGGAAAGCGUGUAUACGAGCAAUCGUAUCAAGGGUUCGAAUCCCUUUCUCUCCGCCA